UUUAACCAGACCAAGCGUCUUUACAAACACACAUCUAAGUCGUCUCUUGCUCUUCCCUUUGAUGAUCAUCGUUUCUGAUUUCUACAAUUCAUAGUUUCUCUGUAUUUAUCACCAUCAACUCACACUCAUUCAAUUAAGAUAUUUUCUCCAAUCUAGAUGAGAAAGCUAUCCUUUCACUUCCCUUUGUUCUCCUCUUAUAUAAAACCCAUUCAUUGAAGCUCACAUUCAAUCAUAUUCGACAACCUCUGUUCAGCGAUAUCAAUCCAUGGCGAUGAAAUCGGUUCAAAACUCUGGCAAGUCUCAAGAGAAAACGAAGCCCUGAACGAAAUCAGAGAAAGAAGAUCAGACUAUGAAUCUGAGAAUAUGAAAGAUGACGAAAACAUGUUGAAUGUUGUCACCUAAAGAAAAGAUACAAGAGACUUGAGGAACACUUGAUUUUCUCCUACACAAUUAGUUCCUUAAUUUUUUUUUUCUUCACCAGCUGUACUGCGGUCUAACCUUUGAUAUGUCCCUCUAAUAUUAGACUGAGAGGCACCAGCUAGAUGAUCAAUGAACUUCUCCGAGUUUGCCUGUUUUUACAAUUUUGUUUUCUUAAUGUGCGGUGAGAAUGGACAUAAGAGUAUCAUUGUAGGUAAAGCAUCAAGUUUUGGCUUUAAUACGUUGUGUACAUGGGAAUCUAGAAGGAUAUGAUUCUGAAGUGCUUGCCAUGUCCUCAUAGAUGACUUUGUUGAGCGUACAGGUUUGGAACCAAAUAUAGAGCUUUCUUUCUCAACACAUUUUACAAUAGAAACCCCUGUCGUUUUGUUAUUGAUUUACAGCAUUUUAGGACCGAAUAAGAACAUUGCCCCUUAACUGUGGUGAUAAAUAGGCUGAAUCAUGCCUUUAUGAAGAACCUCUUCCUGGUUUCUUUGGUUUUUAUACUCUUGAGAAGUUUUCAAACUCUUUGCAUAGUCUUAUUAAUAUUUUUUGCUGUUAGAUGAACAGCACAAAGAUUAUCGUCGCUGCCACACGGGAUUAAGAAGUGUUACAGGCUUAAAGAGAAUAAACAUCUAAAGACAAUGAAGAAAAAGUAUCAGAAACUCGAUACUCUUAUUCGCCCCCAAACUUGAAACAAAUCGGAUCCGACAAGAGCCCAAGAUAUUCAUUCAUGUUACAUUGUGGGAUCGAGUUUUCUCACAAGGGUUUGCGAAUCAUUAUAAUAUGAUGUGUACGCAAGGAUAGAAACCGCUCCACACCCGCAGAAAACUAAGGUCAGGCCUCAACCUCAAGAGUUAGCAACGCAAAGAAGGAAGGAUAUCAUUUACCAAAAAAAGAAGGAUAUCAAACCAGAGAUUUGAAGAAAAAGGCUGCAGACGGCGGAAAGACUAAGAAAUAAGAUUUAUUAUUCA